GAUUCCUCAAAGCACUAAACUAGAAAUAAUUUUUUAAACUCCUUUACUGUGUCAUACCUAGGUCACUAGAAGACACUGUAUUUUCAUAAGAAAUUGCAGCUACUGUCUAUGAGAACUCUAAUUUUCUGUACAAACUGUACCAGUUUUUUUCCACAGAAAAAUUACUGCACUUAGUAGAAGAAAAAAAUUCUCCCUAAAAAUGAAUUGGGAAAUUAAAGUGUAAGCAACAGCAUGAAUUAAAAUGAAUUCUCCAAGAGAAAAGUAGAACUGGAUUCCUACCUCACCCAAUAUGUGAAGGGGGGCUUAGAUGAAGGGAAAGUCUACACAUGAAAGGUAGCAAUGUGGAGUUCACAGAGGGAAGUUCAGGAGAAUAUCUUCAUGAUCUUGAAGGGAGGGAAGGAUUUCUUAAACAAAACUUCCAAGCAAAAAUACUGUAAGGCACACGCACACACAUAAACGCACAUACGUGCAUAUGAUUACAUAAAAAAUAAUGGUUUCUGUUCAAAAAAAGACAUCAUCGGCAAACUAACAGAAGACAGAAAGAUAUUUUAAUCCUCCAAACUGCAAUUAAAAAGAAGUCUUGAAGAUCAACAAGAAAAAGAUGGUGACCCCAACAUUAAAGACGGGUAAAGGAGGCUGGGCACAGUGGUUCACGCCUGUAAUCCCAACACUUUGGGAGGCCGAGGCCGGCAGAUUGCUUGAGGCCAGGAGUUCAAGACCAGCCUGGCCAACAUGGUGAAACCCAGUCUCUACUAAAAAUACAAAAAUUAGCUGGGUGUGGUGGCUCACACCUGUAAUCCCAGCUAUUCUGGAGGCUGAGGCAGGAGAAUCGCUUUAACCUGGGAGGCAGAGGUUGCAGUGAGCCAAGAUGGCACUACUGCACGGCAGCAUGGGUGACAGAGGAAGACUCUGUCUCAAAAAAAAAAAAAAGAUCCAAAUCCACUGGUUUACAGAAGAGGAAACCCAAAAGGACACCCAGGAUGUGAGGGCGAUCUGGUUGUGACAUAUGUCACCCCUUGAUCCCCAGGGUUUAUUUGGCGAUCUGGCUGACUAGGCGGGUGUCCCCUUCCUCCCUCACCACUCCACGUACAUCCCUCCCAAAGCUGCACACUCCGUUGAAGAGGACGACCAUCCCCAACAGAGGAGGGCCAGUCUUCGGUCAAGGGUAUAUGAAUAGCUGCAAUCCCCUGCUACAACCUCCAAACAAGCUCCCAGAAGGACAUCUGGCAAAUAAAGAAACAUGCACACAACUAAUUAUCAGAGAAACACGAGCUGAAACAUUGUGAUAUCACUUCACACACUUUUGAUUGGCAAAAGUUAGUGAUUUGGAGCUGCCGAGGGCUGAGAGGCUUGUGGGCAGCACAGGUGGAAGCAUGGCUGGAGUGGCCAUUCUGAAGUAUGCUUUGACACUGCUUGGUCAGGUAGACCUGCACAUACCCUGUGACCUGGCAGAAACACUCCUGGGGAUGCACCUGUGGCCAGCGGGACGGCGGGUCCCAUUCCACCUUCGCUGUCGUAGAUUACACACCCACACCCUUUCCCCUGUGGCUCUGAUGCUCCUCACAGCAUGGGUGGAGCACACUUCCCCACCCCAUUGAGUUGGAACUGUCCAGGUGACUUGCUGGGGCUGGUGGACUCUUAACAGGACAAGACAGAGGUCUCAAGUGUGCUAUGUGUUUCGUCUUCAUCUCUUGCGCUGCAGCCAUUCAUAAGAACAUGCCCUGGGUAGCUCCUGGUCCAAGGAGAGUGAAGAGAGAUGGGAGCAGACCUUAACCCAGCCCACUCUACCCCCAACCAAGCCCAGCAGGUCACCUGGGUGUGUCUGUGAGUGUGCUGCCAGAGGAGACUGACAUUUGAGUGGGUGGACUGGGAGAGGAGGAUCCACCUUCAAUGUGGUGGGCACCAUCCAAUCGGCUGCCAGCGCAGCCGGAACAAAGCAGGCGGAAGAAGGUGGAAUCACCUUACUUGCUGGGUCUUCAGGCUUCCUUCUUUUUCCCCUGCCAGAUGCUUCCUUCAGCUCCUCCUGCCCUUGGACAUCAGACUCCAGCUUCUUUGGCCUUUGGACUCAGAGACCUGUACCAGUGGCUUGCUGAGGACUCUUUCAGGCAGCCUUCAGCCACAGACUGAAGGCUACACUGUCAGCUUUCCUGGUUUUGAGGCUUUUGGACUAGGACUGAGCCACUACCAGUUUCUCUCUUCCCCAGCUUGCAGACGGCCUAUUGUGGGACUUCACCUUUUGAUCCCGUGGGCCAAUUUUCCCUAAUAAACUCCUUUUCAUAUAGACAUGUAUCUUACAUUUCUGUCCCUCUGGAGAACCCUGACUUAUACUCCGGCCAACCACAGAUCAGUGAGAAAGAGAAGAAAAUGCUUGUUGCUGUAAGUGCCUCAACUUAGGGUGGCCUGUUACACAGGGCUUCUGCAGCAGUAGCUGACUGCUGAGCGGCAUGU
rnacentral:lncRNA from 10 species